rnacentral:rRNA from 1 species
UCGUGGGUCGACUUGUCAGUUUAACUACGUUAACGAGCGAGACCUUAACCUGCUAAAUAGCACUUGUAUUCGCGAGAAUAUAAGGGUUUCAAUUGAACAAGUAACUUUGAACGUUGAAAUGUAAGCUUCUUAGAGGGACUUUGCAUCUAUAAAUGCAAGGAAGUUUGAGGCAAUAACA